CAGGAAGUUGGUGUGGUUCAUAGAAGAUGGCAUCUCUGGAGGAGGAUUUAUGAUUUGUACUUGGGUAAUGAGCAGUUUGCAGUGGUUGAGAAUCCUGGGUUUUGGUAUUGGACAUUUACCUUGAAGGAC